rnacentral:rRNA from 1 species
GGGGACGAAGUGACAGGUGGUGCAUGGUUGUCGUCAGCUCGUGUCGUGAGAUGUUGGGUUAAGUCCCGCAACGAGCGCAACCCUUGAUCUUAGUUGCCAGCAUUCAGUUGGGCACUCUAAGGUGACUGCCGGUGACAAACCGGAGGAAGGUGGGGAUGACGUCAAAUCAUCAUGCCCCUUAUGACCUGGGCUACACACGUGCUACAAUGGAUGGUACAAAGGGCUGCAAGACCGCGAGGUCAAGCCAAUCCCAUAAAACCAUUCUCAGUUCGGAUUGCAGGCUGCAACUCGCCUGCAUGAAGCCGGAAUCGCUAGUAAUCGCGGAUCAGCAUGCCGCGGUGAAUACGUUCCCGGGCCUUGUACACACCGCCCGUCACACCACGAGAGUUUGUAACACCCGAAGUCGGUGGGGUAACCGUAAGGAGCCAGCCGCCUAAGGUGGGACAGAUGAUUGGGGUGAAGUCGUAACAAGGUAGCCGUAUCGGAAGGUGCGGCUGGAUCACCUCCUUU